UAUGUACUCCCUCCGUUCGAAAUUACUUGUCGCGAAAAUGAAUGUAUGUAGACGUAUUUUAGUUCUAGAUACAUUCAUUUCCGAGACAAGUAAUUUCGAACGGAGGGAGUAACAC
rnacentral:pre_miRNA from 1 species